AUUUGAUGAUGUGGACAUUGUAUUUGUACUUCCCAAAUCUUUUCCAAGCUUCAAAAAAUUCUUCCGUAUGUUUUUGUCUAAAAGUUUGAAUUUGAUUUCUUAACUC
rnacentral:snoRNA from 1 species